AUGAAUAUCGUUAGCUGGAACUGUCGCGGGAUUGGCAACGACACGACGGUUCAAGAGCUUCCCACGUUAGUGCAACGGUUUGCCCCUUCCGUGCUGUAUCUGCAAGAAACACAAGUAUGAGAGUUACGGGCUAGAAACCUAGCUUUUUCUUUCGGUUUUAGUAGAUGUUACACUGUUGGUAGUAAUGGUAGAAGUGGAGGUCUGGCUAUCUACUGGAACAAUGAUUUAUCGCUUGAAUUGAUUCAUUACUCCCAAUACCACAUUGAUAUGAUUGUGAAGAAGAAUGGAGAGGAACCAUGGAGGCUCACCAACAUCUAUGGUGAAGCGACAGUUAGUGAGAGACAGAAAACAUGGACCUGCUGA
rnacentral:rRNA from 1 species